UUUGGUUUAGAGAGUUCAUUAAUCCUCCCAUCCCAAGAACUGGGUCAGCCAAGCUGUACUUCAUCCUGGAAGAAUUAGAUAGACUAUACAGCACAAUUGCUGAAAAUUCUCAAUUGAAAUGUAGCAAGUAGGAAAAUGAAAUGCAGAGCCUCUGAUUUGAUAACCCUCCCUCCAGAUUUAUCAAGAUUGCUUGUAACAGCAUGGAUUUUAGAGGAUAAUGAUCAAAAUGAAAUGACUCUGCUAAAUUAAGAGGACACCAAGAGGGGAAAAACAACUCUCUUGGUAAUCAGCUUUAAGUAGAGAACGAUGGCCUGUGAUUACACGGCAGAAAAAAAAUGGAGCCAUGUGAAGCACUACUAAAGCAAAUUAGGUCAUUAAUCCUCUGACUAUUGAAAUAAACA
rnacentral:lncRNA from 10 species